GGCUCAGAACGAACGCUGGUAGCGUGGAUUAGGCAUGCAAGUCGAACGGGAUCCGGGAGGUAGCAAUACUUCCUGGUGAGAGUGGCGGAUGGGGAGGAACACGUGAGCAACCUGCCCUUGAGUUGGGGAAAACCGUUGGAAACGACGGCUAAUACCGGAUGCGGCGCCCGAAGACAUCUUCGGAGCGCUAAAGGGGGCCGCAAGGCUCCCGCUCGAGGAGGGGCUCGCGCACCAUCAGCUUGUUGGCGGGGUAACGGCCCACCAAGGCCUACGGUUAGCUGGUCUGAGAGGAUGACCAGCCCCACUGGGACUGAGAUACUGCCCAGACUCCUACGGGAGGCUGCAGUCGAGGAUCAUUUGCAAUGGGCGAAAGCCUGACAAUGCGACGCUGCGUGGAGGAAUGAAGGCCUUCGGGUUGUAAACUCCUGUCAUGGGGGAACAGGCGAGGGGAGUCAAUACCUCCCUUAGUUGAGUGUACCCCAAGAGGAAUUGGCGGCUAACUCUGUGCCAGCAGCAGC
rnacentral:rRNA from 1 species